rnacentral:lncRNA from 13 species
CUGGCAUUGGAGGAAUUACUACCUCUGCUCAGUUUUACUAUGAGCUAUCUUAGGAGUUAAAUGAUGAUUCUCUCGUAACCCUGUAAAAGUGGCUUAACUCCUUAGCUGCUGUGGCUCUUCAAAAUAGAAGGAUCCUGGAUCUGCUAACAGGAGAGCAAGGAGGAACCUGUCUCUUUUUAGAAGAACACUGCUACUUUGUAAACCAAUCAGGUAUUGUCUUAAACAAAGUUGAAGAACUCAGGGCUAAAGACCUCGGAGAAACAGGAUUGUGGAGCUUGUUUAACGACUAGCUGUCCUGGCUCUACCCUCUUCUAGGCCCAUUUAUAACCAUUCUAUUAUUGCUGGCCUUUGGGCCUCUCAUCUUGAAACUUCUUGUCAAAUUAUUCUAGAUUUGAGGCCAUGAGGCUACAAAUGGUCCGGUAAAUGGAACCCCGGAUGUCCUUGGCUCAUGAGUUCUAUCGCGGACCUCUGGAUCAACGUGCACCCCUGGAAGACUUCCUCUGGAGGAAACCUCAACUGCAGGGCCCCUUCUACUCCCCAAUUCAGCAGGAAGUAGUUAGACAUGAUCAAUGCCCAUGUCUCAACAACAGAACAGUUGGACUUUCCUGUUCAGAGGGGGGACUGAGGGACUGUGUUAAAGAAACUUCUCUCCCCAGGUCCGCUAGGGGAGGGGUUUCAAGUGCAGGAAUUUCCCGGCUCCCUGCCUCAAGCAGCUGGGGCUCUUUGAGCACCUCCUCCAUGCAGGCCAGGCUGCAGUGUGCUGUGGCAUGAUAUUGGCUCACUACAAUCUCUGCCUCCUGUGUUCAAGCGAUUCUUCUGCUUCAGCCUCCUGAGUACCUGGGACUACAGGUGUGUGCCACCAUGCCCUGCUAAUUUUUGUAUUUUUAGUAGAGAUGGGGUUUUACCAUGGCCAGGAUGGUCUUGAUCUCUUGAGCUUGUCAUCCACCUACCUCAGCCUCCCAAAGUGCUGGGAUUACAGGCAGGAGCCACCACACCAAGCCAAAAUAUUGUUUUAAAUUAAGUAAGAUAAAGCAAAAGGCUUAACCAGGUUGUGGAAGGUUCGUAAAAUUUAAUCUUGUAAGAGAAACUCUGUGUGUGAACAUAUUGACUAAAUUCGAAAGGAUACUGUAUGGUUUUUCAAUAAAUUGAGCAUUGAAAUAAAAGCA